GGCGCCAUGGCUUAGUGGUAAAGCGGCUGUUUCUUGUAAACAGUGAUAUCACUGGGUUCGAUCCCCAGUGGUGCCU
rnacentral:tRNA from 1 species